GACGAACGCUGGCGGCGUGCUUAACACAUGCAAGUCGAACGGAAAGGCCCUGCUUUUGUGGGGUGCUCGAGUGGCGAACGGGUGAGUAACACGUGAGUAACCUGCCCUUGACUUUGGGAUAACUUCAGGAAACUGGGGCUAAUACCGGAUAGGAGCUCCGGCUGCAUGGUGGGGGUUGGAAAGUUUCGGCGGUUGGGGAUGGACUCGCGGCUUAUCAGCUUGUUGGUGGGGUAGUGGCUUACCAAGGCUUUGACGGGUAGCCGGCCUGAGGGGGUGACCGGCCUCAUUGGGACUGAGCUGCCGCCCCGACUCCUACGGGAGGCAGCAGUGGGGAAUAUUGCACGAUGGGCGGAAGCCUGAUGCAGCAACGCCGCGUGCGGGAUGACGGCCUUCUGGUUGUAACCCGCUUUCGCCUGUGACGAAGCGUGAGUGACGGUAAUGGGUAAAGAAGCACCGGCUAACUACGUG
rnacentral:rRNA from 1 species